AGUGUAGGAAAAAGGGAAAGGUAGGCAUGAACAGCACCACUACCAUCUCUCCCCAGUUUCCUAAUUCGGUUCCUUUCCGCCAGCUGAAACCGAGCAAUUCUGCCAGGAAGGAAUCUGUUCCUUUGGGGUCCUUCAGAAAGGGCUACUUUGGAGACGGGCGAUAGAUAAAUCUGAGCUUCCUGAAUUACCACCACGACCAGCGCCCCGCCCAAUCAUUGCUGCACCGGAACCCUACAGUGUAAAUGUGACCUUAAAGAGACCACUAAGGGAGCGGGUUUGACAGCCCAGCUCGCAGUUCCAGGGGGCAGCGUUUGACAGGUCUCAUCUACCUGGUGGGGACCUCUGGAUCUGGGAAGGAGUUGCUUGAACAAUUAUGACAGAAGCCAGGGAGACUGUCACAAGCAUGCCCUCAGGAACCCUAUCUGGAAUCAUAACUGAGGUCAGUGUCAGACAACUGGUCAGCGGUUUGCGGAAUCCCCAUCCUCCCUGAUCACUCCAAGGAUACUGACGUGCCUUGGUCGAGCUCUUUCCCUGGGUCUCUCGCAGGAGACUUGAAUUUGCUUAGAGAGCCCAAGUGCUGCCUCACAGCCUCUUAGCCCUUCUCAAGCUUCCGCUCUCUCUUACUACUGUUUACCUUCCACUCCUCGAUCCAAAGAUUCUUCUCCUUGUGAAGAUGAGUGCAAGAUACAGGUUGAAAGCUCUCUUGCUCUUAUCUAUUAGCAAACCCCCAUUAGUCCAAGGCUUUUCAACUCGUCCUGACACUUUCUUCUCUUUAACUUUCUUUUUGAAAAUUUUAACUUAGGGCUCUAACCUACGAGGAGUUUCUAUGUCCCCCUUUUUGUUCUUGUUACAUGCUCUUCUUACCACGUUUGUGAAUGUCCUGUUCACACCAGAGCAUCCCCAGCGACGCCCCCAAGCCAGUCCUCUGGAUGUCUCCUUGUUUCCCUCCACACAAUGGCCAGAGAGAACAUAAGUGAAGUGCAUUUGAUCAUGGCAUCCUUCAUAACUCCCCUUUGCCUUAGCAAAAUAUCCUGGCCCUUUCCAAUCUGUCCCCACCCCCCCUUUCCACCCUCAUCCUUCCCUGCCCCCACGUUCAGGUGCUCCCGCCACACCCACUCUACUUGCUGUUUCCAGAACCUGCCAGGAUCUUGGGUCUCCAUCUUGGUCCCUGCCAGGCUCCUUUACUAGAAUGUCCUUCCCCUGCUGGGUGCAGCGCUCUCAGAUUCCUGGCAGCAAUAGAGGAAGGGAAAGAGGCCCAUUAGAAUGGGUGGUGUGAGUUCAACACCCACUUAGUAAUGCUAACGUUGGGGAAGUCACUCAGCUUCUCAGAGCCUCAGCUUCUCAGCUGGUAUUGGGUUUGUCUGGAUUAUCUUUAACAUCUCCUUCUGGUCUAAUACUAGCCACCUCCCCUCCCUCGCCAUGAAAAUUAUACUGAAUUGUAAUUUAGUUUUUUUUGUUUUUUGUUUUGCGGUACGCGGGCCUCUCACUGUCGUGGCCUCUCCCGUUGUGGAGCACAGGCU